rnacentral:tRNA from 1 species
GGCCUGGUGACAGAGUGGCUAUGUAGCGGACUGCAAAUCCGUCAAUGCCGGUUCGAUUCCGGCCCAGGCCUCCA